rnacentral:rRNA from 1 species
GACGAACGCUGGCGGCGUGCUUAACACAUGCAAGUCGAACGGAAGGGCCUGCUUUCCCUUGUGGAUUGCGGGUACUCGAGUGGCGAACGGGUGAGUAACACGUGAGUGAUCUGCCCCCAACUUGGGUAUAAGCCUGGGAAACUGGGUCUAAUUCCCGAUAGGACUGCAGGGUGGUUCCUGUGGUGGAAAACGAUUUUCUAGUGGUUGGGGAUGAGCUCGCGGCCUAUCAGCUUGUUGGUGGGGUAAUGGCCUACCAAGGCGGCGACGGGUAGCCGGCCUGGGAGGGGGGACGGCCACAGUGGGACUGAGAUACGGCCCAGACUCCUACGGGAGGCAGCAGUGGGGAAUAUUGCACAAUGGGCGGAAGACUGAUGCAGCGACGCAGCGUGGGGGAUGACGGGCUUCGGGUUGUAAACUCCUUUCGACCGCGAGGAAGCCACCUGGUUGGAAGGGUGGUGACGGUAGUGGUAGAAGAAGCACCGGCUAACUACGUG